UGGACGCUCGUCUGCUGUUGAAUUCAUGUUUUACAGUUUAACAAGGAUUUGUAUAGUGUCACUGUACAAAUCCUUGAGUUUAAAGAAUGGAAAGAUAUAUUAUAGUCAGAUAGAUAAUACAAAGAACUCUAGUUUUUCAAAACCGAUGGGUCAAAAAGUUAUUAGUAUGAACAGAUAAAUUGAAAUGGGUUGCUUGUCGAUUAACUGGAAGAAACCGGGGAACGAAAGAAAGUUGUGUUUCGCUUAACGGAUUACGUACCCAAUAUUUUGUACUUGGAAAGCGCAACGAAAGCUGACUCAAAAUCAUGCAUGAUGAUGCUGUUUGGGCCCCCUGGUUGUACAUAGGAAGUGGACUCCUCGAGAAGAUGAAAGGUCUGCUUUACAUCAUUUUCAAUGAAAGUACAAGUACUUUGAGAAGUAGGAGAAGCUAAGCAACAGAACAGAAUUCAUUUGGGUCAUUGAUGUCUAGAUUAUAUAGUGGAUUCAUAGAUUGUCAUAUUGAUUUAUGUGCAUAUGAGCACAGAGGAGCAGUAGUCAAUGAAUAAUUUUGUGAUGAGAGCUUGUUACCAAAUGAAAGGAAAGUACAGUAUUGACAAUGAUUGAUAUCACUGGUGAACAUGUAUGUCAUGUAGGUGUGAAUGUCCUGCAAAAAAGAACUGAUAUCAAAAUACCAUUCACAGUGAACAUGGUGAAGAAUAACCAAUACCAUGAAUACAGGACAUAGAAGACUACCUCACAAAUAUGGGAAUUUUACAAAAAAUACAACAUUUAAAUUUACAAAGAAGACAUUUAUUUUGACAUUCAUGGACUUUGAAAGUAAAGAAAUUAGAAUGUGAAUAAAAAUCCUUGGAAAUAAAAUUUUGAACUUUGAAGAA